rnacentral:rRNA from 1 species
CACGUAGGGGGCAAGCGUUGUCCGGAUUUAUUGGGCGUAAAGAGCUCGUAGGCGGUUCGUCAAGUCGGGUGUGAAAACUCCGGGCUCAACCCGGAGACUCCACCCGAUACUGUCGUGACUGGAGUCCGGUAGGGGAGUGGGGAAUUCCUGGUGUAGCGGUGAAAUGCGCAGAUAUCAGGAGGAACACCGGUGGCGAAGGCGCCACUCUGGGCCGGUACUGACGCUGAGGAGCGAAAGCGUGGGUAGCAAACAGG